GGAGCGGAAGGCUGAAGUCCAUUUUAAAAUCAUCUUUCAGAAGGUUAGUCUACUAAUGCCAAUUUUAGCAAUGUCAUUCAAUGUAAUAAAGAAGAAAAUACCUAUCUAUGCUAAUAGAAGCAGAAUAAUAAUUUGAUAAAAUUCAAAACCUGUAACACAAUUAUUGGUAACCUAGAAAAUCCUAAUCUUAUUAAGAAGUAAUAAGAUUAGGUGUGCCUGGUGUGGUAGUGCAUGCCUUUAAAUCCAGCACUCAGGAGACAGAGGCAGGGAGGUCUCUGUGAGUUUGAGGACUGAUCUACAGAGUGAGUUCUAGGACAUCAAGAGUUACAUAGAGAGACCCUGUCUCACAAGCAAUCCAACAAACAAAUAAAGAAACUAAACCAAGGAUCUACAGAAGUUUCUAUAUCAAACAUCAUAUUUAGUGGAAAAUCAUAACAGGCUGUAUUAUUAUUUUCAAUGUGAUAUAUGAACCAAUCAUUGACCAGAGAGAUUCUCGUAGCCCCACACUUAAGAAAAAAUUUAAAGAACAUAUAUGUAUAUAUUCCAAUUUAAAAUUAAAAAUUGAUAAAUUAUCGCAUAUUUAUGAAUCACCAGUACAUGGUUAUGUCUCAAUGACAUUUUACUUUUCAUUCCCUUGACAAUUCAUGCUGUUGGGUGUCUUUUUCAUAUCUUUCUUGGUCAUAUAUAUGGCAUCUUUGAAAUUCUUCUGUGUUGGCCCUUUGCCUAGUUUUAAACUCAUGUUCACUGUCUAUGUAUUAAACGGCUUGAGUUCUUGUACAUUUUGGGCACACUUCAUACCAGAUGUACAACUUUCAUAUAUUGUCUCUCCUUCCUAAACUGUCCCAUCAGUUUCUUUCUUCACUUGCUGUGCAGAAACUCUUAAGCUUACAGUGGUACCAUUUAUCUGCUUUUCCUUUCUUGUUUAUGUUUUGGAAUCAUAAUCCACCUAUCCCACCAAAAGUACAAGAAAAAAUGUUGCCUAGAUGAUUGUUAUAAAACUUUACCUCUAAGUUUUCCCCUAGUAAUUUUGUAGACUCUGGUUUCAUGUUUAAGUCUUUGUUCUUUUCAAGUUGAUUUUUAUGUGCUGUGAACUAAAGGUUCAGUUUCAUUCCUCUGCAUGUGGAUAUCCAGGGUUCCUGACACAAUUUACAGAAGAGAUGUAAUUUCCCCAUUUUGUGUUCUUGGCAACUUUGUCAGAAAUCAAUUGAGCAUAAAGGCAUGGAUUUAUUUCUGGGCUCCUUAUUCUUUUCCUUUGAUAUCUACGUCUGUUUAUAUGCUAGUUUUAUAAAGUUUAAUUGGUAGAGUUUUUCAGUGUUUUUGAUGCCAGGUAGUGUAUAGCUUAUAGCUUUCAGCUUUGUGCUUGUUGCCUGUGUCUUUGCUACACAGCAAUUAAACAACUCCUAAUGACAUAUAGCUAUACCCAUCGAUCAGUGCAAUGCUCAACCCUCUUCAAAAAGGCUCCUUCUUGCAGUAGAUAGUAAUUAACAUAUGGCACAAUAUGUACAGAGUAAGAGGCUUUUGAGUCUAUCCCUGAAUGAGAUGUCUUUAUCACAUCUUUCCCCUCAGGACUCAGGGUGCUAUGUGGAAGAGAGGGAGGAAUGAUUAUGAGUCAGGAGUGGUAGAUAAUUUUAAGGAAACAGAAUUUCCCAGACACAGCAGGGCAGAUUCAUAUACACACUCAUAGAGACUGUGACAGCAUGCAAAAGAUUACAAGAGUUCAAGCUAGACAAAAUACUAGCACAGAGGAGGGGCGAUAGACAUGAAGUCCCAUUCUUACCAAAUUGAUAGGUACUGUAGAGGGAAAAAAUGGUUUUCUCAGCAUACAUCAUUCACAUUCCAUGGAAGGCCCUCUGCUCAAGGGCAUAUGACCAACACAAAAUGGACUUUUUGGCUUUUUAAAAUUUUUUCUUUAGGAGAAAGAGACAAAAAAUAUGAACUUAGGUGGGUAUGGAGAGGGAAGGAUCUGGGAUGAUUUGGGGGAUGGAAACUAAUAUGAUUAAAAAAAACAUACUGUAUGAAAUUCUCAAGGAAUAAAGAUAAAAAAGAGUUCUGCACUAAAGUCCUGAAAGAAGGGCUAAUACCAACACUCCUCAAACUAUUUCAUAAAAUAGAAACAGAAGGAACACUACCUAAUUCAUUCUAUGAAGCCACAAUUACUCUGAUAUCUAAACCACACAAAGACUCAACAAAAAAGAGCACUUCAGACCAAUUUUGUUAAUGAAAAUUGAUGCAAAAAUACUCAAUAAAAUUCUCACAAACCAAAUCCAAGAAUACAUCAAAACCAUCAUUCAUCAUGAUCACAUAGGCUUCAUUCCAGGGAUAGUAAUCCACUAUAUAUACAAAUUCAAAGAAAGAAAAUCACAUGAUCAUCUCAUCAGAUGCUGAAAAGCAUUUGACAAAAUAUAAUACCCCAUCAUGUUAAAAGUAUUAGAGAUAUCAGGAAUUCAAGGAGGGCCAACAGAAAGAAUGGAAACAUGCAACCUAGGUAGGAGGUGGGGUCACCCUUUAGAAUGUACCAGAGACCUGGGAGGUGAGAUGCUCAGGACUCAAAAGCAGAGACCUUAGAUGAAAUGCUCAACAGUGGGGAGAGGG
rnacentral:lncRNA from 1 species